rnacentral:rRNA from 1 species
UACGUAGGGUGCGAGCGUUAAUCGGAAUUACUGGGCGUAAAGUGUGCGCAGGCGGCCGAGCAAGUCGAGUGUGAAAGCCCCGGGCUUAACUUGGGAAUUGCGCUCGAAACUACUUGGCUGGAGUGUGGCAGAGGAAGGUGGAAUUCCAGGUGUAGCGGUGAAAUGCGUAGAUAUCAGGAGGAACACCUGUGGCGAAAGCGGCUCACUGGACCACAACUGACGCUGAUGCACGAAAGCUAGGGGAGCAAACAGG